GUGCACUUCAACACCCUACUAUCACCCAACAAAGAAUUCUGGCCACAGAAUCACCUUGCUGCGGUAUUCCUGACUGAAUCAAGAUACGCUGGGGAAGAGGCAUCUGAAGAUAGCCCGGGUUCUGACCUCGGCCCUGCUGCCUAACUGCCUGGUGACUUCAGCGCAAGGCCUCGCUGAAGCGAACCCAUCGUGGGAAGGGCGCGGAGAAAGCGGGGAGAAAGAGCAGGGGGACGUCGGGCCUGCGCCUGGCACCGCCGCUACCUGGAUUCGCGGGCCCCUCACACACUCACCUGCCGGUAUUCUAAUCACAGAAUUACUGGAGCAUCAAGAAGUGCCUGCAUGCUUGGAAGGGCUUCCAGGCAGAUGAACACACCUCAGCACCGGGUGGCAUUUUCCCAGGGUGCAACCCGGACCGGCUCUGGGUCACACUGACAAGGACAACAGGGUUAACAAUUUCCAGAGACAGCCCGUACAUAGAAGGAAUGUUUACUGAAAAAAAUGAAGAGGGGUCAGGGCAAGGCGAGGAGCAAGAAGCACCCCCAAGGAAACAGAGAAGACCAGUACAACUGUACCUCUUUGCCAGCUGCACCAUCCGUACCAGUCUCCUGGGGUGGAAGUGUCCAGCACAGAGACUGCCACACUGCAAGACGAAGGGGCUGGACACACGGAAGAGAGAGGCGGAACCCUGCACCCCCUCAACCUCAGCCCUACUGAGUCUCCAAUGGGGCCACGCUUCUGAGUGCACCUCCCCGUGUCAUCUGUAAUGUGAGGGGGAACCAGGCUUGAUAUGGCAUUCCCAAUCCAGGGCCUCUGGACCCCUUGAGAUGCAUAAAAAUAGUGAUGGGGGCCUGAGAGUUCUUUUUUUUUUUUUUUUUUUUUGGUCAUGAACUAUUUUUAACAUUUCCGAAAGCCUCCUGGAAAUUAUUAUGCAGCCAGCCACAACAGGGCUGCAACAAAAUGCCAGUAUCUUCGCUUUUCUCUGGAGUCCCAUCAGCUCAGUGCCGUCACACUGAUCAAAGGCACUGCCUGGCAGUCAUCUAUGUUAGUGAUGAGUAAAGUAGACAGGAAAUUCA
rnacentral:lncRNA from 1 species